rnacentral:rRNA from 1 species
CACGAAGGGGGCUAGCGUUGUUCGGAAUUACUGGGCGUAAAGCGCACGUAGGCGGUGUUCCAUGUCAGAGGUGAAAGCCUGGGGCUCAACUCCAGAAUUGCCUUUGAAACGGGGACGCUUGAGUCCGAGAGAGGAUGGCGGAAUUCCUAGUGUAGAGGUGAAAUUCGUAGAUAUUAGGAAGAACACCGGUGGCGAAGGCGGCCAUCUGGCUCGGUACUGACGCUCAGGUUCGAAAGCGUGGGGAGCAAACAGG